rnacentral:hammerhead_ribozyme from 2 species
AGGCGAAACCCCGCAAGGGGUCCGGCCGGGGUGGUUCCCGGUCGCUGACGAUGCCAGCCUGCA